rnacentral:lncRNA from 1 species
AGGGGACAGACCGCGUGUGUCUGUGCUUGCCUGCAGGGAAAGGCUACUCUGGAGCUUCAGGUGUCUGGACAUUUUCACAUGAAAAUGUGAAUAAGUGUUGCUGCUAACCAAAAGUAUUCUGCAUGUUAUUAGCCAUCUGUCCCUGUGCAGGGCUUUCCACAAUAAGCAAAAACCUUAAAAGAUAACAAAUAGAAAGAACACAGCUAAUGUUUCAUCCAUAGAGUAUAUUAUUAGCCUACAUCCAUUUCAGGUGGGGAGAAGAAAAUCAGUUGCCUAUUUUGCUUUUUGCUUCAAGCUAUUGCUUUGGCCACAGUUACCCAGAGAAACAGACAUUCCUCAAAAACAAACUCAGAAUACUGUGUUUUUUCUCUGACAAAUUCCCAACUGCCCGUGAGGGAGGCCCCCAGGUCCCUCGAGGGCUCUUCCCACAGCCCAGGGACGACAGCAGGGACCCUCUACCCAAGAGUGACAGCCGCCUUGACCACCAGAGAUGAGGCUCAACACCAACCUUUAAAGUUUAAUGGUUCUAUUAAAAUGCUUUCAUAAGCAUUAAUACAUACUCAUACAUUUUGCAGUGAUAUUUUAAAGAAAAGAUUUCACAAAUUCAGUUUAUAAAUCCAACUUUCAACAAGUCUGAGAAAGAAAGAACUCUCCAGCAUGGAAACCUGGCCAUCAUUUGCUGUGAACACUCGUGUGCCUGAAAGCACUCGAUAUAGAACGGCCCUGAGUGAGCAUACUCGGGCAUACAUCUGUGCUGCAUCAUAUCUACUGGACAGACACACCAGGCAGAGGCUACAACAAAAGAAUUCGCCCAGGAACAUAGCAUGGGCUGACCUCCAUCCAUCCCUACAGCCUCAAGGUUGUGACGCAUUUAAGAAGCAGCUACCAAGAUGAAGUACCAAGGCCUCAUCCUGCAGCCUUUAUGAGCUCUCAUUGUUAUUCCAUUGUGGACCUCCUUCCAAGUUUUAUCGUUUAAUCAUCCACAUUGUG